rnacentral:rRNA from 2 species
AAGGCUUCAGCAAGACACAGUCAGAACCAUAAGUCUCAAAGCCCCGACGAGUAGGGUGGCGUGCCGGUGCGCGUUGAAGGCCAAGACGUGAGUCAGGCUGGAGCCGCCGGUAGUGCAGAUCUUGGUGGUAGUAGCAAGUACUCUGGUGAACCAACCUGGAGCUGUGAGGUAUGGAUUAGGGUUCCAUGUCAACAGUGAUUGAACAUGGGUGAGUCGAACCUAAGCCAGCUGUGAAUGCAGUGACAUCCCAACAACGGGGAAUGCAUACUUACACCCCCAGGCACCUCUCUUGAAUUCUCUCUCUCGCACACACAAUGAUCACUACAAAGUGUGUUCUGGUUACGCUCUAAGCGUUGUGAAGAGAGAGAGCGUAAGAGAGGUGAGAGUAAGUGCCUUCCCCGCGUCUGGUUCUUUGUCCGGCGAAAGGGAAUGGGGACUUUUUUCCUUGACCGGUCCCGGCACCCUCGAUUGGCGCCAAUCAAUGGUCCAUGCAAAUGGAACCAGGCCACAGCCGUCGGCAGUCGCCCGAGGAAGAGUUUUCUUUUCUGCUUAACGCACGAGGUCAUCCCUGGAAACAGUUCGGCUGGCGAAAGGGUGUCCAGUUGCGGCAGAGCGCCACGACUGUCGUGCGCGUCUCGGUGUUCCUGCUGAUCCGUGAAAACGUGGUCGAGGGGAAUGCCUUGUAUCAACGAAACGUCCGACAAGUUCGGGACGGACCGUACCCUAUAUCCGCAUCUGGUCUCCAAGGUUCCUAGCCUCUGCAGAGUCUGACACAUGUAGGUAAGGGAAGUCGGCAAACUCGAUCCGUAACUUCGGGAAAAGGAUUGGCUCUGAGGGCCGAGCUGGGCCGGGCCUUGCCUGCAAAGCAGUACCUAUAGUGACCGGAGUUUCAGGAGUGCGAGGGGCUCUAGUAGCUGCUUGUGCGCGUGCGCGCGUGUGGGCACGAACGGGUCCACCACUCCGCUCCAACCACGAACGGCUGUGACGGCAAGGGCUCUGGGCGGGAGCGAUCUAUCCGUUCCCAGCGCGUCUGGGUGGCGGCGGUGCUCUGUCUGACCCAUACGGCUCCAGCGGCUAGCGGCUAACUCAGAACUGUCAUGGACCAAGGGAAUCCGACUGUCUAAUUAAAACAAAGCGUCGUGACGGCCCCUGUUGGGUGUUGACGCGACGUGAUUUC